rnacentral:RNase_P_RNA from 1 species
AUUGCAAGUAAGGUUAUCGCUGAGGCUUCAUUGCCUAAGAGGAAAGUCUGGACAGCAUAGGGCAACAUACCACCUAACAGAUGGUGUUGGUUGAAGAACCGACAAGAUAGUGCCACAGAAAAUAUCCGUGUCAACUUUUUAAAGUUGGCAUAAGGGUGAAAAUGUGAGGUAAGAGCUCACGGGUAAGUAUGGCAACCUAUUUACCGGGUAAACCUUAUGUGCUGAAAUGUCAAAUAAGUGAGUGCUUGAGAACGGCCCGUUCGAUGCUCAUGGGGUGACAGAUACAUAUUGGUGGUGACAUCAAUAGUAGAUAAAUGGUAACCAUUCCAACUUGUUGGGAUAACAGAAUCCGGCUUAUUUACUUGCAGUUUUU